rnacentral:rRNA from 1 species
AUUGAACGCUGGCGGCAUGCUUUACACAUGCAAGUCGAACGGCAGCAUGGAGAUGCUUGCAUCUCUGAUGGCGAGUGGCGAACGGGUGAGUAACACAUCGGAACGUACCGUUUAGUGGGGGACAACUUCAAGAAAUUGAAGCUAAUACCGCAUACGAACUACGGUUGAAAGCAGGGGACCUUCGGGCCUUGUGCUAAACGAGCGGCCGAUGGAAGAUUAGCUAGUUGGUGGGGUAAAGGCUCACCAAGGCGACGAUCUUUAGCGGGUCUGAGAGGACGAUCCGCCACACUGGAACUGAGACACGGUCCAGACUCCUACGGGAGGCAGCAGUGGGGAAUUUUGGACAAUGGGGGCAACCCUGAUCCAGCAAUGCCGCGUGAGUGAAGAAGGCCUUCGGGUUGUAAGGCUCUUUUGACAGGGAAGAAAUCCUUAGUACUAAUAAUGCUGGGGGAUGACGGUACCUGAAGAAUAAGCACCGGCUAACUACGUGCCAGCCGCCGCCGUAA